GAAGACUAUUUUUUGCUUUUGUUUUUCUUUUUUGUCUUUUUGAGACAGGGUCUGCCUGCAUUGCAGGCUGGCCUUGAGCUCACUUUGUAGCCCAGGCUAGUCUCCAACUUGAAUGAUCCUCCUGAGUGCUGGGGAUUACAGGUGUACACCACCACGUCUGGCAGGUUAUUGAUUUUUGAGUGUUGACCUUGUAUCCAGCUAUGCUACUGAAUUCAGUUAUUAAAUCUAGAAAUCUUUGCUCCAGAUGUUCCUGCAUCACCACAAGCCUAAAGCAUAAAGUCCAUGGUUGGACCUGGCCAACUAUGGACUGAAACCAUGAGCCAAAAUAACCUUUCCUCCCUGUACUAUUGUUAUUGUUAUUGUUAGGUAUGUUGUCACAGCAACAAACGGGGACACACUGCUGGCACGGAAUCAUGUGUUUGUCAGCCACCCCAGGUGUGUCAUCCAAGUGUGCGGUUCCCUCAGGCCAGAGCAGGUUUUUCUGUCUUCCCUGUAACUCCAGGUAGAGAUAGCAGCAGACACAGACAGGACGGAGGGUCCCCUUUCACUUUGUACCCAGCCGGUGGCUUUCUGAGUCAGUUUUCCCCUUUAAAUCUGUCCUCGUUUCUCGUUUUCACAUGUUUUCUCUUUCUAGGAGGGAGGCACGAGGAGAACAGAGAUUGAAGGGAGGGACAGUGAGAUGUCUCCCUGUCUUUCCUUGAAGGCCUGGCCACCUGUACUCUCACUGGAGGUUUGGGGCACCCCUUGCAAGCCCUACAUCUGCAUCCUGCCAAGGCUCAGGCAGAGUCUGGCCAGGACAUUAGAGAACACAUUAGCACAUAUCGGGGGCCUGCCAGUGCUGGGUACCCAGACACUUCUUUGUUGUCCUUGUUUGCUACACUGUUGUUGUCGUGGUUUCUAACUAUACUGACAGGCCCAGGACUGAGAUUACAGCCAAAAUGGGAAGGCAGCGGGGAGGAAAGAGGCCGAGGGCAUGCCGGGAGGGGGGCAUUGGAAGAGACCCCUCCGAGGCCAUGUCCAGUCUGUUGUCCACUAACGCCGACUUUCUUCUCUGUCAACAGUAUUUCACUUUCAGUACUGUCAGCUGAUUCUUUCUAACGGUCACACGCUGUUUGUACUGUUGCUGAUGCUCUCAUUCCAAGGCUGUGAGUCCCUACUUCAGUUUUCUGAGCCUCAGACAUUGACCUUGGCUGCACAGCCACUGGGAGUUACCUAAGAAGUUAAAAACUGGCAUUUAGAGAAUGAUGGUGAUCGGAGACUGGGGAGGAGGGAAAGGGGAAGCUAUUGCUCAAUGUGUUUAGGAUUUCCUGUCUGCAAGAUGGACAGGUUCCGGAGAUUGCUUCACAACGAUGCGGAAUCCUUCACGCUGCGAACUGCACAGUGCCUUUGGCUUAUACAAAAAUGCUCCUGGUAUCCUAGAAAGACCUGCUCCGUAGCCAGAUGAUUUCGAGGAUUUUCAAAGGCUGGAAGACAUUCAAGGAACAAGAAGAAAGCUGCCUUGGGAAUAUUCCAGAAA